CCUGGUGGCUCAGAGGGUAAAGCAUCUGCCUGCAAUACAGGAGACCUGGGUUCGAUCCCUGGGUCAGGA
rnacentral:tRNA from 1 species